AAAAUUUCCCAACUGUUGUCCCUUUUUUUGCAAGGAGAAUUGAAGCAACGAGUUCCCGCUUAGACGUCACUGUUAGUAGAAUUCUGGAGCCUAAAGAAACUGCUUUUCUACAUUUCUUCCUGAUGCUACCGGGCAUAAUGGAAAACUGGUAAAAUUAUUCUGGAACCUGGUCUAGUUAAAAAACCACACAAAAUGCGGGUCGACUGUUUGACACAAUCAUCCGGAGAUGCCAUCCAGUACGAGGCCAUCAAGCGCUCUUUGGAUACAGAAUUAUGAUUUUAACAUAAUUGUGCGUAAUGAUUAUAUUUGGCGAAUAAAAUGUAUUCUAAUCUUAUUUUCAUUUAUUGGAAAAACUUCUGCACAAAAUAAUUAGGACAAGGACCUUGCAAGAUAACACUGAAUCAACAAUUUGACGCCACAAUACACGGUCCGCGGCCACAUCUCUCCAUCCUCGAUUGCGCCACACGCUCGCUCAUUCUGCACCUGGUCUGCCCACCUCGCUCGCUGCGUUCCACGCCUUCGUGUGCCUGCCGGAUCGGAAGCGAACACCAUCUUCGCAGGGUUGCUGUCCUGCAUUCUUGCAACAUGCCCUGUCCAAUGUACUUUUCCGGCUUUGGUUACCUUCUGGAUACUGGGUUCGCCGUAGAACUGGACGAGCCGACACACACCGCCAAAAGUUGUCCUAAGCACUCCGAGUGCUUGCAAAUUCCUCUUCGAGCAUGGUCCAAGUUUCGUGCCCGUAGAGGACUACCGGUCUUAUCAGCGUUCGGUACAUGACGCAUUUGGCGCGGGAGUGAUAUUUUUUCUA